GGCAAGGGCAUGCCCGGAGCCUGUCCCACGGCAGACGCAGGAGACAGAGACCCAGCACGUCUGGGGUUGUGGGCAGGGCUAUGACUCAGCCUGCCCCGGGAGAACCACGGGCUUGGAGGAGACGGUAGCAGACCCAUCAUCCUAAAGGAGACAGAGCACAAAGAGCAGGACAGAAACCAAACAAACUGGCACAAGGGCACCUGAACGCGCAGCUGGGGAAAAGCUCGGGCAGAUAAUCGGCGAAUCCAAUUUCCAGCCGGCUCUGCAGUGCAUGCGUCAGCCACCAGCAUUUUCCAUCAGGCCUUCAACAUCUCCGGGAGCCCAGAUUUUUGAGCAAGUGUUUUCACAAGAAGAGGAAGAGACCCAAGGGGCAUGGUCACAGAGGAAAGAUGGCAAGAAGGUGGCCUUCUAUAGCCAAGGAGAGAGGCCUCAGAAGAAACUAAUUGUGCCUGCACCUUGAGCUUGGAUUUCCAGCCUGUAGAACUGUGAGGAAAUACAUGUCUGUUGUUUAAGCUA